rnacentral:lncRNA from 1 species
CAGACAUUCUGGAGGUACCUCCGUUAGCUCACUGCACGAACCCCGCGCUCCUGCACCGCCUAAAGCUACCUCUUUGCUAAGCUAACGUUAGCUGCAGCAGGGAGGUUUGGCUGUGAUGGCUGACUUGAGCAACAGGAUCACAACAUCUUCUGAAGCUGCAGGAAAAUCCACGUCGUCUUCGCUCAUUCCUGGUAACGGAAACCUGAACAACGCAGGCGGCAUGGAACAGGUCACAGUGGUGAGAAUAGGCGACGUUCACGUCAAAGAAGAAGAGUCAGAUGUCCAGGAGAAGGUCAAAGAAGACACGUACUACGAGAUGGAGUACUCUGUACCCACAGAGGAUGAGGUUGUGGUGGAGGGAGAGGAUGACGGCGUCUAUGUCAUUGAGUACUCAAACCCUGAAGAAGAAGGAGAGAGUUAUCAGUUCACGAUGUCUGUACCGGCCAAAGAUGGGAUCGUUAAACGGCCGGUGAUCAGAACGAACGCCAGGCCGCCUGCAACAUCCAGGGUGAAGCAUGAGGCGAGCCAGGAGGGGUCACUGGGAGCAGAGGUGGAGGAGGAGAUGGUGAGCAACAAGAGCGUCCUGGAGCUUGGCGAGGACUACAGCGACGUGAUGGAGAUGAAUUCAGGUGAUGGACAGCUGCGGUGCCCGAUGUGCCCGCCGCCCAGCAGGGUCUUCAAGCGAGCGUCAGGGCUGGCCGUGCAUUUAAAGCAGCUGCACCGUCUGGAGGGGAAGAAGACCUUCUUUUGCACCUACUGCAGCCAGACGGUGCGCACGCAGAUCGAGCUGGACGCACACACCAAGCGCCACGCCAACCAGGAGGCGGUGUUCACCUGCAGCCUCUGCUCGGCCGAGACGGCGUACAAAGGCUCGAAGCAGGGCCUGAAGAAGCACCUGGCCCAGGAGCACCCGGGCGUCAUCCCCCGCUGUGAUAUCUGCAACAAGAACUUCAAAACCAUCAUGGCCUACCUCGCCGACCAGUUCCGGCACGUCGGAGUGUCGCCCUACUACUGCGCCAAGUGUCAGAUCUACGAGAUGACGAUGCGCGGUCUGAGCGUGCACAUCAAGAACCACAACAAGAAGACUAAGAAGCAGCAGGAGGCAGCUGGAGGCCGCGCGCCGGCGGGCGGAGUACCCGCCGACAACUCAGCCACGGACGACUCCGACUUCUGACCUCCUGUUCUCAGACUGAAUCUCAGUGACCUUCUGUUGGUGUUUAUGCAUCUGAAUGAGGACGAGUGUUUGUCUCAGACCGUGGCUGAAGUCCGUCAGCUGCAUUUCAUCCUGUCAGAUCACAGUCAGGCUGCGUUCACCACACAUCAUGCCUUAUUUUCAAACUGCCCUCCAGACUGUUGGAUCAAUAAUCAACACUUUGUUGGCAUCAAGUAUCAGUAUGAAGACGUACAUCAUGUGUUUAUGAUUGUUUUGUUCCACAAUAAAUGU